UGAGGUCUUUCUCAGAAGCCAUUUAGACAAAAACAAUGAGACUGGUUUUACUGCGGGGACAGAGCUUCAGUUUAACGCUUUUGAGGAGAAAAACAGCAGUUUGAAGGCACGGAAGCGAUUCAGGGCUUUUCUUGUUGAGAAACGGGAUUCAUUCAUGUUGCUGUUGCUCCUUUGGCCUGUCCAGUGAGUACUGACCCCUUCCCUGGCAGGCACAAAACAUUGUCUUGGAGUUGCUCCAAAGCAUAUUGCACUUAUAGUAUUUCUUGCUGUAACAUUAAGUAGCAUUAAACACAUGACCCAUAGGACAGGUGUCAAAGAAAUAAAGCACAGAUCUUAAUAUGCAGUAGAAACACUGUGUGAUAUAUAAGCACCCAACCAUUCACUUUGGACUCCAGCUGUAAUGUUCUGUCUUCGUGUGGAGUCUCCUAGCAACACAGACCUGUUUACCCACAAAACCAUCACAAGACAGAGGUGAACAACCAACCUGGAGCUGCAGCAGUGCCCACAUUCCCUGAGGACUUUUACGAUCCAUCUUUGUAGUCAGUGAAAGUUUCCAUUACAGCAGUCACAGAUGGCCGAGCAAGGGAGGAUGGCCAGGCCGACUGUCGGAGCACCAGGCAACAGGGGAUGGCCGAGGAGCAGCGCACUCAGAGUUUACGAUACUUCUUACAGAGCUGCUUAUGGUGAGAGAGUUCACGACUCAAGCAGGGACAACAUCACUUCUUACCUCGGACGUCUUAGUAAGACAGGUUUCACAGCAAA